UACGAAGGGGGCUAGCGUUGCUCGGAAUUAUUGGGCGUAAAGGGCGCGUAGGCGAUUUGAAAAGUCUUGUGUGAAAGCCCCGAGCUUAACUCGGGAAGUGCACAAGAAACUGUUGAAUUUGAGUUCCGGAGAGGAAGGCAGAAUUCCCGGUGUAGCGGUGAAAUGCGUAGAUAUCGGGAGGAAUACCAGUGGCGAAGGCGGCCUUCUGGACGGAUACUGACGCUGAGGCGCGAAAGCCAGGGGAGCAAACGGG
rnacentral:rRNA from 1 species